AAAUGUGAUUUGCUUUGUGCAAAUUGCCACAGAGAAUUACAUGUCGAACAAAAAUUAGCAGCUUCCAGAGAAAACUCUGGAAUGAAAAGCGAGUAAAUUCAGGGAAACCCAAACGUAAAGUCGUGGGCAAUCCUGAGCCAAGCCCGUUAGGGAAGGUGCAGAGACUAAACACUUGCCACCUAAAGCCGAAAAGGCUAUGGUGAAGAGAUAGUCCUACCCUCCAGGAGACUGGAAA
rnacentral:ncRNA from 1 species